AAUGAAGCAGCCGGGUGUUCGACAGCAUGCUUGUGGCCCGUCCUUCUUCAGACCACUACCCCGUCGCAAAGCAUAGGGGGAAACGUCGGUGAAGGGCGACACGACAACUGUCGUUCUGAGAAAUACCGGUCGAACUUGAUCUGGAUAAUACCAGCGAAAGGACUUGCUUCUUAGCCUCCC
rnacentral:ncRNA from 20 species